rnacentral:lncRNA from 1 species
UGGGCCAAAUUAAACCAAACUUGGCCACAAUCACAAUUGGGGUAUCUAGUUUAAAAAAUGUGUGGCGUGACCCGACCAACCAACCAAGAUGGCCGCCACAGCUAAAAAUAGAACAUAGGGGUAAAAUUCAGUUUUUGGCUUAUAACUCAAAAACCAAUGCAUUUAGAGCAAUUCUGACAUAAGUAGAAUUGAUUAUCAGGUCAAGAUCUAUCUGCCCUGAAAUUUACAGAUGAAUCGGACAACCUGUUGUUGGGUUGCUGCCCCUGAAUUGGUAAUUUUAAGGAAAUUUUGCUGUUUUUUGGUUAUUAUCUUGAAUAUUAUUAUAGAUAGAGAUAAACUGUAAACAGCAAUAAUGUUCAGCAAAGUAAGAUUUACAAAUAAGUGAACAUGACUGAAAUGGUCAGUUGACCCGGCCCCUUUAGGAGUUAUUGCCCUUUAUAGUCAAUUUUUAACCAUUUUUCGUAAAUCUUAGUAAUCUAUUACAAAAAUCUUCUCCUCUGAAACCACUGGGCCAAAUUAAACCAAACUUGGCCACAAUCAUCAUUGGUGAUUCAAUUUUAAAAAAUGUGUGGCGUGACCUGGCCAACCAACCAAGAUGGCCGCCACAGAUAAAAAUAGAACAUAGGG